rnacentral:piRNA from 1 species
UAAUUGAUGAAUGCUGGAGUCAUAGAUGUU